GAUGAACGCUGGCGGCGUGCUUAACACAUGCAAGUCGAACGGAAAGGCUCCUGCUUGCAGGGGUACUCGAGUGGCGAACGGGUGAGUAACACGUGGGUGAUCUGCCCUGCACUUCGGGAUAAGCCUGGGAAACUGGGUCUAAUACCGGAUAGGACGAUGGUUUGGAUGCCAUUGUGGAAAGUUUUUUCGGUGUGGGAUGAGCUCGCGGCCUAUCAGCUUGUUGGUGGGGUAAUGGCCUACCAAGGCGUCGACGGGUAGCCGGCCUGGGAGGGGGUACGGCCACAUUGGGACUGAGAUACGGCCCAGACUCCUACGGGAGGCAGCAGUGGGGAAUAUUGCACAAUGGGCGCAAGCCUGAUGCAGCGACGCCGCGUGGGGGAUGACGGCCUUCGGGUUGUAAACUCCUUUCGCUAGGGACGAAGCGCAAGUGACGGUACCUGGAGAAGAAGCACCGGCUAACUACGUG
rnacentral:rRNA from 1 species